rnacentral:misc_RNA from 1 species
GAAAUGCGAUAAGUAAUGUGAAUUGCAGAAUUCCGUGAAUCAUCGAAUCUUUGAACGCACAUUGCGCCCUCUGGCAUUCCGGGGGGCAUGCCUGUCCGAGCGUCAUUACGCACCCUCAAGCCCGGCUUGUGUGAUGGGCCCUGGCGUCUCGUUCGCGAGACGGGCCCGAAAGGCAGCGGCGGCGUCGACCCGAUGAGCCCGAGCUUAUGGGGACUUUUGUCACACGUUUGCGGUGCGGACCGGCGCCUGCUUGACUUUUCUGAUUAUCCAGGUUGACCUCGGAUCUGGUAGGGAUACCCGCUGAACUUAAGC